UACGGAGGGGACUAGCGUUGUUCGGAAUUACUGGGCGUAAAGCGCACGUAGGCGGAUUGUUUAGUCAGGGGUGAAAUCCCGAGGCUCAACCUCGGAACUGCCUUUGAUACUGGCAAUCUCGAGUCCGGAAGAGGUGAGUGGAAUUCCUAGUGUAGAGGUGAAAUUCGUAGAUAUUAGGAAGAACACCAGUGGCGAAGGCGGCUCACUGGCCCGGUACUGACGCUGAGGCACGAAAGCGUGGGGAGCAAACAGG
rnacentral:rRNA from 1 species